rnacentral:rRNA from 1 species
ACGUAGGGGGCCAGCGUUGCUCGGAAUUACUGGGCGUAAAGGGUUCGUAGGCGGUGUGGUAAGUCGGAAGUGAAAUCUCUGGGCUUAACCCAGAGGCUGCUUUCGAAACUGCCGUGCUAGAGUGCGGGAGAGGCGAGUGGAAUUGCAGGUGUAGCGGUGAAAUGCGUAGAUAUCUGCAGGAACACCCGUGGCGAAGGCGGCUCGCUGGACCGCAACUGACGCUGAGGAACGAAAGCUAGGGGAGCAAACAGGAUUAGAUACCCUGGUAGUCCUAGCCCUAAACCAUCAGGACUUGGGGUGGCCCGCGUUGGCGGGUCGUCCCGGAGCUAACGCGUUAAGUCCUGCGCCUGGGGAGUACGGUCGCAAGGCUG